UCAGCGGAAAGUAGCUUGCUACUUUGCCGGCGAGCGGCGGACGGGUGAGUAAUGUCUGGGGAUCUGCCUGAUGGAGGGGGAUAACUACUGGAAACGGUAGCUAAUACCGCAUAACCUCGCAAGAGCAAAGUGGGGGACCUUCGGGCCUCACGCCAUCGGAUGAACCCAGAUGGGAUUAGCUAGUAGGUGGGGUAAUGGCUCACCUAGGCGACGAUCCCUAGCUGGUCUGAGAGGAUGACCAGCCACACUGGAACUGAGACACGGUCCAGACUCCUACGGGAGGCAGCAGUGGGGAAUAUUGCACAAUGGGCGCAAGCCUGAUGCAGCCAUGCCGCGUGUGUGAAGAAGCCUUCGGGUGUAAAGCAUCACAUGCAAAACCCCACCA
rnacentral:rRNA from 1 species